rnacentral:misc_RNA from 1 species
UACGGAGGAUACAAGCGAUCUCCGGAAUCAAUGGGUUUAAAGGGUCCGUAGGCGGGAUAAUAAGUCAGUGGUGAAAGUAUGCAGCUCAACUGUAGAAUUGCCAUUGAUACUGUUGUUCUUGAGUGUUUAUGAAGUGGUUAGAAUAUGUAGUGUAGCGGUGAAAUGCAUAGAUAUUACAUAGAAUACCGAUUGCGAAGGCAGAUCACUAAUAAUUUACUGACGCUGAGGGACGAAAGCGUAGGUAGCGAACAGG